GACGAACGCUGGCGGCGUGCUUAACACAUGCAAGUCGAACGGAAAGGCCCUGCUUUUGUGGGGUGCUCGAGUGGCGAACGGGUGAGUAACACGUGAGUAACCUGCCCUUGACUUUGGGAUAACUUCAGGAAACUGGGGCUAAUACCGGUUAGGAGCUCCUGCUGCAUGGUGGGGGUUGGAAAGUUUCGGCGGUUGGGGAUGGACUCGCGGCUUAUCAGCUUGUUGGUGGGGUAGUGGCUUACCAAGGCUUUGACGGGUAGCCGGCCUGAGAGGGUGACCGGCCACAUUGGGACUGAGAUACGGCCCAGACUCCUACGGGAGGCGGCAGUGGGGAAUAUUGCACAAUGGGCGGAAGCCUGAUGCAGCAACGCCGCGUGCGGGAUGACGGCCUUCGGGUUGUAAACCGCUUUCGCCUGUGACGAAGCGUGAGUGACGGUAAUGGGUAAAGAAGCACCGGCUAACUACGUG
rnacentral:rRNA from 1 species